rnacentral:tRNA from 1 species
GCCGCCUUGGUGCAUGGUAGACACCUCCCUCGUAGUGCGGAGAACGACGCGGUUCGAUUCCGCGAGGUGGCA